CCUACGGGAGGCAGCAGUGAGGAAUAUUGGUCAAUGGGCGCGAGCCUGAACCAGCCAAGUCGCGUGAGGGAAGACGGUCCUAUGGAUUGUAAACCUCUUUUGUCGGGGAGCAAAAGACGCCACUCGUGGCGUUCCGAAAGUACCCGCAGCAAAAGCAUCGGCUAACUCCGUGCCAGCAACCGCGGUAAUACGGAGGAUGCGAGCGUUAUCGGGUUUUAUUGGGUUUAAAGGGUGCGCAGGCGGAAUAUAAAAUGAGCGGUAAAAUUGAGAGGUUAAACCGCUUCGCGCCGUUGAAACGGGUUUUCUUGAGAGUGUGAGAAGUAUGCGGAAUGCGUGGUGUAGCGGUGAAA
rnacentral:rRNA from 1 species